UGGGGGAUCGUCUAACUGGCAGGACGUCUGACUCUGGAUCAGAUAGUCGGGGUUCGAAUCCCUGUCCCCCAG
rnacentral:tRNA from 1 species